AACCAAAGAGGCUCCCUCAAUCUCGAUCUGUUUCAUCUCAGCCUCCAGCCCGAAGAGGAGCCGCCGCCUCCGAGGAGACGCCCUAGCCCCGAGAGGAGCCACCGCCGCCGCCGCCGCUGAGAGGAGCCGCCCCAGCGCCGAGAGAAGCCGCCGCCUCCGUCGGGGAAUGAGGUCGCCGCCGCCUCCAGGUCGCAGCCAUCACACACCGCCUCCUCCAGGUCGCCGCCGUCACACACUGCCUCAGGUCUGUUGAUCUCUCUCCUCCUCGCCACUCCUCUCUGCCAGCCCCGCACAACUCUGCCUCCACGGUGGGUAUUCACUCUAUGGCGUUCAAGAGAGGUGGUUGCAGCCGCCAUGCUGCCGAUCCGGUCCUUGCUGCUGGAUCCGGCCCUCUCCACCCCUCCUCCCGGUCCAAUCCAAUGGCAAGAGAUGAGGUUGGUGCGCUCGGUCAGAGGAUGGACAAGCUCUUGUCCUUCACAAUCCACUCCUAGACUGUUUCAUGGUGGUCGCGCUCCGUCCGGCGUUUGCCCUCCGUCAUCCACUCCUUCCUCCAUGGGGAUCGUGACUAGAGGACGUAAUUGAGCAGAUGGCUAUAUUGGAAUCGAAGAGGACCUAACGGGGAAUCUAUAGAGGUGCUCAUCGGGCUAGGGGAGGCUCUGCAGCGGCUGAAUCAGUCAGAGGCGAUCGCCGGGCAGAGGGGCAAAGUUGUGGUCGAUAGCGUCAUCUCAACGCUCUUCUGCUCGAAUGCUUCUGCAAAGAGACGCUGCGAGGCCUCGUGAUGCUUGUGGACAUGAAGGCGCAGCGAUUCUUCGGCGGUGGUCACAUGGACGAUCAACGAUGGCUACGGCUGUGCACUCGGGCGAGCUUGAGAUCGAGCGCUAGAGGAGAUGGAGAGAGCUCCAGAGCAACGGGAAAGUGAGAGGGAGUGCAGGGCAUCUCCCAGGCGAGCGGAUGGGGACGAGGACGUGGGGGACAGCGCUAAGCAGGAGAUGGCAGCAGGGUGAGCCCGCGCGACACGCCUCUGCCUACAGGCAGACGUUCAAGAAGACAUGGCCGUGGGCUGGCUUGGCUUCAGGUGAUUGCUCACAACAUUGGCCUAGGGUGACAAGAUGUUAGGUUAUUGCUCCCUACAUUAUAGUCUCUGGCCAAAGAGAAUCCAAGACAUGCUCUAAGGUUUGUGAUGGUAAGGGAAAUGUUUGCUCUUCAAAGUUCAAAAUGAGUAGCGUCCUAUCAUAAAUGAGCUUUAGCUCACACUUAAGUAGUCGUACGGUUAUUACUUUAUGUCUUGAUCAUAACAAAUUUUUCUACCGAAAGCAUAUGGUCUCAAAUUGAUAUUGCAAAUGGUACUACAAAAUCAUAUUCAUUUUCCCCAAGAUCACAGGUUGUAUCCUGUUUAGCAUGUAACAAGGCAAUGAUGAUUUCUAAUUUCAGUUAUCUAUGCUUGUAGCCAUUAGUUGUAUCAAAGCGGCAUUUGCAACUCUCCUUCUUGAUGGAAAUAAUUAGUGCCGCCCGCUGGAGCAUAUGGAAUUGUCAUCCCUCUUGCAAGUGUUCUGUUUCAAUCUGUAAAUGGAUGGAGAAGUACCAAUUAAUGGCUAUUGAAUAAACUACAUCAGUUGGUAAGACACUAACUAGAAAGAAAACAUGCAUAGGAAGAGGUUAAAGGAAGAGGACAAAGGAAGAGGUUAUUUUAUUUUCUUCUAAUUACGGAAUGGUGUACGGAAAAGUCAUCUUUCUAGUAUUUAUAUUUUGGAAUGUCCUCUUACUUGUUAUUGUACUGUCCGUCCUAUCAAGUAGCUGCUCGUGAUCGACGUGCUUACUAUUACUAUUGUUGUCGUCGUGUCUAUCGCAGAUCACGGGUUGCAAGUUUGAGUACCUUCUCAACUUAUGCAACUGAAUCUAUCUACUCUAAGUCUGCAACCUAGAACUAACAUCUUAAUCUGGCCUACUACCUAUACAAUGAUCAUGAAUUUAAUGGUGCACAACCUAUCCAUAUUGUUUUAUUUCUUGGUGAUAAGAAGGAAAAAUGGAAAGGAAUAGGCGGUAUUUUCAAGUGAAACAACUAUGCGAGGGAGUGCUCAAACAAGGAUGGACACAGGGCAUGGUGAACUGCUUGCUUGAGAUCAGAUCCAACAAUGUGUAUGCAUGGAGCAGUGACUCUUUAUUUUCCACUUCGUUUGCUUUUUGAUGGGUACACUUGGUAUGCUAAGCGAAAACUACUUUCAGAUGUCGAAGAAUCAUUCAGUACAUCAUCUCAAUAUGGAAUGUCAUCUUAAAAAAUGGAUCUAUAUCUUUUUUGGACGACAAUAUAUGGGAACUAGAACAAGCGCCUGAAGCGAGCAGCCGGGCUAGACUGAAGGUUCCUUGACACACUGCAACGCAUGUUCUACAGCAACAAUGCAGGGCACGAGGCACUGGUGAAGAUGUGCACAGACGAGCACAUGCAGCAGUGGAAGGUGCUCCAUGGCGGCCACCGUGUCAUCGGGUACAUCGGAUGAUUCCCAGGGCUCCCAAGCUGCCGAGAAUUCAGGCAUGUACUCACUCAUACUGAAGUUGAACUCUAAAAGGCUGGUGGAGGACAUUGUGGAGAGUGUCGCCAAAUGUGGGUCUGUCCGGCUGUCACUACUGCUGGAUUGCGGUGCUGGUACACGGAGAUCAACGGGAAGGUGGCAAUCGCCGGGACCCACUUGAGCCUCAUGCAGGAGGACAUGUACGUACUAACAUAAACAAGAUGGCAGAUAAGUUAUCUGCUCUUCAGCUCAAAGUGACGGAGGUGAAUGUGUUGUUCACCAUGAAGCAGAAUCACUCCUCCAAAGACCUGCUAGGACAGCAAGGACAAGUGCACGAUGGUGCACCGAAGCAUCACGGUGAACAUGGUAAUGUCAGGUUGUUGAUGGAGCGAUACAAAUUGGUUUGAAGGCCGGGUACCACGCCGCCGCCAAUAUCGCGCGCAAACAUUGUUGAGUACUGAUGGUGUCAAAGUUUGACCGUAGCUAGCUUGAUUUGGAGACAUUUCCUGUUAGGACUUAAACUUUGGCUUGGAGGCAUUGAGCUUUCGCUCUAACUAGCUUUGUUACUUGGUAUACCUCCGUCAGCGUUCAGGAGCCGGGUAGUUGUGGAGCGGGUCGUGCGAGAGACGGUCGGCGAGCACAGGCUGGAGGGGAAGGUGAUGCGUGCGACAGCGACCAUGCCGGCAGGCAGGGCAGGGUUGACCGUGGCCAUCAUGAUGUUUCCAAGGGAGAGCGAGGCAUCCGCCAUCGCGUAGCUAAAGAAGUCGAUGCCCCGGGAGAGGUUGGCCACCGUUGCCGGUGUGAAAGGUGAUAGACCUAAAGGCCGGUGACAGGUUCGCCGCCGUCGCACCUUCUUUGAACUUGGUGGGGACGUGGAAGGAGAGCGGUGGCGUCGUGAAUAGCUCGACGCCUGCUGUCGCGACCACGACCGUGGUCAUGACCAUUGUGUUGUUAUGAGUUCUUGGGUGGCGAGCGAUUUGGAUGGUUAAGGAGAUAGGAAGAUUGCGGAGAAAAGUGGAAGAGAAUCUAUAUUCUUCGUCGCAUGAUGAAAACCGGAUGUAACCAUGCUUAACCCGUAUUUCUAAAUUAGAAGAAUAAUUUAAUCAAUGUGUUCAUAUUUUUAUUAUUCUGUGGCAAUGCAUGAGUAUUCGGCUUUUGCCCGUAGCAACGCAUGGGCGUUCUACUAGUCCAAGUAGAGCUGGAGCAAAGUGAACGCCUAGUGUAGGAGUACUUGGAUAAAUUUGUCUUACGACCAUGUGCAACUGCCCAAUUAAGACAAUGUUUCUCAUGGUUUAGGAGAAACUGCAGCACCCAAAAAGUGUUCACACUUAAUGAGCUGACGUUUUUUUUGGGGGGGAGUAUUUUGACGACUGCUUCGAUAAAUCCAUAUGUACACUUGGCCGAUGUUAUUUUGACAGAAGGGCCAGAUGAGUUCACUUGUGUGUUUUACAGUCUUCAGAAUUGGAGGGUGAGAUGCUACAGCAGUACAGCUGCAAGUUCCCUUGCUUAUCCGUGAGGCUAUAUUUCAGAGGUUUGACUGUGACCGAAUUUAUUCACAAAGAAGCUAGGCGGUACUUGUCAGUAUGCUUGACUAACAAAUAGCAUUAUGAUCUGGUUUUGUUCUCUAUACCUUAUUAGUUCAUGGAUGUAACGGCUCCAUAUAGGUCGUCAAGAAAUUUUGAAUGUAAUUAAUAUAUGUCCCAGUUGACCAAAUUUGAAGGUAAUUACCUAGCACUCCGUUUGGAUGUAGACAUUCGAGGCCUUGGAUUUGAAUUGGCUGCAAUAUCAAAUCACUGAGACAUUGAUAUUGAGAUUCAA